CAGCACCUCAAGUGGUCAGGAUGAUUAUUGGGCCUAAAGCAUCCGUAGCCUGUUCUGUAAGUUUCCGGUUAAAUCCAUUAGCUCAACUAAUGGGCUGCCGAAAAUACUGCAGAACUAGGGAGUGGGAGAGGUAGACGGUACUCGGUAGGAAGGGGUAAAAUCCUUUGAUCUAUUGAUGACCACCUGUGGCGAAGGCAGUCUACCAGAACACGUUCGACGGUGAGGGAUGAAAGCUGGGGGAGCAAACCGGAUUAGAUACCCGAGUAGUCC
rnacentral:rRNA from 1 species